rnacentral:rRNA from 1 species
UUCUUUUUGAUUUAUAAUUUAAAGUAAGUUCUGCUCANUGAUUAAUAAUUAAAUAGCUGCAGUAUUUUGACUGUACAAAGGUAGCAUAAUAAAUUGUUUUUUAAAUGAAAACUUGAAUGAAGGAAUUAAUGAAAUAUAAACUUUAUUAGAUUAAUAUAUAUAAAUUUAUUUUUUAGUUAAAAAGCUUAAAUAUAUUUAUGGGACGAGAAGACCCUAUAGAAUUUUAUAUUUAAAUAAUUAAAUAAAUUAUUUAAAUAUUUUUUUGGGAGGAAAGAAAAAUAUAAACUUUUUUUGAUUAUAAACAAUGAUUAUUGAUUUUUUAUUGAUUUUAUUAAAAAUAAAUAUAAGAUUAAAUUACCUUAGGGAUAACAGCGUAAUAUUUUUUGAUAGUUCUUAUUGAUAAAAAUGUU